AGACCCGAAACCCGGUGAUCUAGCCAUGGGCAGGUUGAAGGUUGGGUAACACUAACUGGAGGACCGAACCGACUAAUGUUGAAAAAUUAGCGGAUGACCUGUGGCUGGGGGUGAAAGGCCAAUCAAACCGGGAGAUAGCUGGUUCUCCCCGAAAGCUAUUUAGGUAGCGCCUCGUGAAUUCAUCUCCGGGGGUAGAGCACUGUUUCGGCUAGGGGGCCAUCCCGGCUUACCAACCCGAUGCAAACUGCGAAUACCGGAGAAUGUUAUCACGGGAGACACACGGCGGGUGCUAACGUCCGUCGUGAAGAGGGAAACAACCCAGACCGCCAGCUAAGGUCCCAAAGUCAUGGUUAAGUGGGAAACGAUGUGGGAAGGCCCAGACAGCCAGGAUGUUGGCUUAGAAGCAGCCAUCAUUUAAAGAAAGCGUAAUAGCUCACUGGUCGAGUCGGCCUGCGCGGAAGAUGUAACGGGGCUAAACCAUGCACCGAAGCUGCGGCAGCGACGCUUAUGCGUUGUUGGGUAGGGGAGCGUUCUGUAAGCCUGUGAAGGUGUGUCGUGAGGCAUGCUGGAGGUAUCAGAAGUGCGAAUGCUGACAUAAGUAACGAUAAAGCGGGUGAAAAGCCCGCUCGCCGGAAGACCAAGGGUUCCUGUCCAACGUUAAUCGGGGCAGGGUGAGUCGACCCCUAAGGCGAGGCCGAAAGGCGUAGUCGAUGGGAAACGGGUUAAUAUUCCCGUACUUGGUGUUACUGCGAAGGGGGGACGGAGAAGGCUAUGUUGGCCGGGCGACGGUUGUCCCGGUUUAAGCGUGUAGGUGUGUGUUCCAGGUAAAUCCGGUUCACUUUAACACUGAGGCGUGAUGACGAGGCACUACGGUGCUGAAGCAACAAAUGCCCUGCUUCCAGGAAAAGCCUCUAAGCAUCAGGUAACAUCAAAUCGUACCCCAAACCGACACAGGUGGUCAGGUAGAGAAUACCAAGGCGCUUGAGAGAACUCGGGUGAAGGAACUAGGCAAAAUGGUGCCGUAACUUCGGGAGAAGGCACGCUGACACGUAGGUGAAGUGAUUUACUCACGGAGCUGAAGUCAGUCGAAGAUACCAGCUGGCUGCAACUGUUUAUUAAAAACACAGCACUGUGCAAACACGAAAGUGGACGUAUACGGUGUGACGCCUGCCCGGUGCCGGAAGGUUAAUUGAUGGGGUCAGCGCAAGCGAAGCUCCUGAUCGAAGCCCCGGUAAACGGCGGCCGUAACUAUAACGGUCCUAAGGUAGCGAAAUUCCUUGUCGGGUAAGUUCCGACCUGCACGAAUGGCGUAAUGAUGGCCAGGCUGUCUCCACCCGAGACUCAGUGAAAUUGAACUCGCUGUGAAGAUGCAGUGUACCCGCGGCAAGACGGAAAGACCCCGUGAACCUUUACUAUAGCUUGACACUGAACAUUGAGCCUUGAUGUGUAG
rnacentral:rRNA from 1 species